GACGAACGUGGCGGCGUGCUUAACACAUGCAUCGAACGAAGAGCGAUGGAAGCUUGCUUCUAUCAAUUUAGCGGCGAACGGGUGAGUAACGCGUAAUCAACUGCCCUUCAGAGGGGGCAACAGUUGGAAACGACUGCUAAUACCGCAUACGAUCUAACCUGGCAUCGAGGUGAUGAAAGUGCCUCAUUUAUAAGUACACUGAAGGAGGGGAUUGCGUCUGAGCUAGUUGGAGGGGUAACGGCCCACCAAGGCAAUGUCAGUAGCCGUCUGAGAGGAUGAACGCCACAUUGGGAUGAGACACGGCCCAGACUCUACGGGAGGCAGCAGUGGGGAAUCUUCCGCAAUGGACGAAAGUCUGACGGAGCAACGCCGCUGAGUGAUGACGCCUCGGGUUGUAAAGCUCUGUUAUCGGGACGAAAGGUCCUCUGCGAAUAGUUGAGGAAUUGACGGUACCGGAAUAGAAA
rnacentral:rRNA from 1 species